rnacentral:rRNA from 1 species
AUGGCACAUUUUAUCCCAUGUCAUAAGAGCAAUGAUGCUUCACACAUUGCUGAUCUAUUUUUCAGGGAAGUUGUGCGACUACAUGGAGUACCACGCAAGAUUGUGUCAGACCGUGACACCAAAUUUCUGAGCUACUUUUGGAAGACCUUAUGGGGAAAACUCGGCACCAAGCUCCUAUUUUCCAUGACAUGCCACCCACAAACUGAUGGACAGACUGAAGUUGUCAACCGGACAUUGUCCAUGAUGCUGCGAGCAGUCCUGAAGAAGAAUUUGAAGAUGUGGAAAGAUUGCCUACCUCAUGUAGAGUUCGCUAUAACAGGGCGGUACAUUUGA